rnacentral:rRNA from 1 species
UACGGUGGGGGCAAGCGUUGUUCGGAAUUACUGGGCGUAAAGGGCGCGUAGGCGGCCUGCUAAGUCGGAUGUGAAAUCCCUCGGCUCAACCGAGGAACUGCAUCCGAUACUGGCGGGCUUGAAUCCGGGAGAGGGAUGUGGAAUUCCAGGUGUAGCGGUGAAAUGCGUAGAUAUCUGGAGGAACACCGGUGGCGAAGGCGGCAUCCUGGACCAAUACUGACACUGAGGAGCGAAAGCCAGGGGAGCAAACGGG